UAUGUCCUCAGGUAUCCUUGCUAGUCUAAGUGUACAGGCAGUAUAGUAUAACACAGCCUCUCUUUCCCCAAAUAUAUUCCUCAAGACAUGACUAGAUGAUCAAUGAGAAAAGAGUUCCAUGAACGUGCAAGUUCAAGAAACAAUGGAGUAAACCAAGUUCAAUAGUCUUCUUUGCUGCGGGCCUUCUCAGGGCCUUAGUAAGCUAAGGCACUCGUGAUUCUCAGAGGAUUACAGUGUGCAGCCUUUGACCAUGGAAGACGUCUUUAUACCAGAGUAUGUGGAUCACCAACUCCGAGGACAGUUGAAGCUGGGAGGUGCCACUGGCCACCUUUGUCACCACUGAGAGAAGCAUGCCUGGUGUUGAAGCCAACACAGAGUUGAAGAAAUGGAUGCCCAAAGAAAGGAAUGGGUUGGCCUGUGGCACCCAGCCAGCAACUGACAGAGCCAGGAUUUGAAACAGAUUCACCCCGAAGGACAGAACCCAGAGUCUGCAUGUUCAGAAAGAUGACACAGCCAAGUUCCCCAAUAUCCACGACAGCCCUCUCUACGGUUCCUAAGGCUCAUUAAGAUGGAAGAGCAAGACUCCAGCUUUUGGACAGAUUCCCAACAAGAAAAUUUAGAGGAGAGGUGAAGCUUCUCAGAGGGUGCAACGUCUCUGUUUCCAUGAGCACCAGAUGGAGGGGCUGGAGCUGGCUUCCCUCGAGGUGAUGCUGAGGAAAUGACACAGGGAGUUCACUCAUGAAAAGUCCCGGGGACAUCAACUGAGGAAAAAGCCACAUGUUUCUCAAUACAUUCCCGUUAGUACAGAGGGUGGCAGAUCCAGCCACUCCUCUCAAGGCCUAAAGCAGCAGGGAAACUCCGCAAUCACAUGUGCACAGCAAGAUUGGAGGCUGAAGCCCUCGUAUUUUUCUGGGUAUUUUUGUUUGGCUUUUUAUUUUUUUAAGGCACUCAAUUCUGCUUACAAUGUAAUGGGCACUGUGUUCUGGCAGGAUCUGCUUUUAAAAUAAAAGGUGGGGGAUAGAUAAGAAAUUAACAGGCCUCUUGAGUACAUGAU